rnacentral:lncRNA from 1 species
GUAAAUUAUUUAUAACUUGAAGGAUAUAUUGUAAUGGCUAGAAAAACAAAUUGAAUCAAAAUAUAUUCACAGUAAGAUAAUUUACAAUAUUUAAGUAUCUCAUAAAUUUACAAAGCCGUUCUGUAUCAAUAUUUGGACAAGCUAUUGAAAAUAAGAAUACAUACCAUAUAAUAAUGUCAAUAGCAAACGAGGGCCUUCCGUGACCGAUUGUUCUACGUAGUCAUACUACUGUAUCACUAGUACUAGUCUGCUAAUCUUUACACUAGCACUGUGAGUUCAUUUCCCGAACAUUACAGGUGCGUUCGACUACAAUCUUAAUUAACCAUGAUGUCAGUUUUACUACCGAGGUUCGUUGGUUCUCUCGGGGCACUCUGACUUCCUCCGCAAAUAAAAAAAAAUGACCACCGCGAAAAAAGCAAAUAGUAC